CCUACGGGAGGCUGCAGUGAGGAAUAUUGGUCAAUGGACGAGAGUCUGAACCAGCCAAGUAGCGUGAAGGAUGACUGCCCUAUGGGUUGUAAACUUCUUUUAUAUGGGAAUAAAACGUUCCACGUGUGGGAUUUUGUAUGUACCAUAUGAAUAAGGAUCGGCUAACUCCGUGCCAGCAGCCGCGGUAAUACGGAGGAUCCGAGCGUUAUCCGGAUUUAUUGGGUUUAAAGGGAGCGUGGGUGGAUUGUUAAGUCAGUUGUGAAAGUUUGCGGCUCAACCGUAAAAUUGCAGUUGAAACUGGCAGUCUUGAGUACAGUAGAGGUGGGCGGAAUUCGUGGUGUAGCGGUGAAAUGCUUAGAUAUCACGAAGAACUCCGAUUGCGAAGGCAGUUCACUGGACUGCAACUGACACUGAGGCUCGAAAGUGUGGGUAUCAAACAGGAUUAGAUACCCUAGUAGUC
rnacentral:rRNA from 1 species